rnacentral:misc_RNA from 1 species
AAAGUCGUAACAAGGUUUCCGUAGGUGAACCUGCGGAAGGAUCAUUAGGAGAUGUUGAGGUUUGAUUUUAUUUACUGGUGGCAUUAAUGCAAUCAGCACAACAUGAUUAACAAUUACAAAUAAAAAGAUUACAUAAGCACCUUGCUGCAAUGGAUCUCUCGGCUCUU